CGAACGGGUGAGUAAUGCGUGACCAACCUGCCCCAUGCUCCAGAAUAGCUCUUGGAAACGGGUGGUAAUGCUGGAUGCUCCAACUUGACGCAUGUCUUGUUGGGAAAGUGUUUAGUGGCAUGGGAUGGGGUCGCGUCCUAUCAGCUUGUAGGCGGGGUAAUGGCCCACCUAGGCUUCGACGGGUAGCCGGCCUGAGAGGGCGGACGGCCACAUUGGGACUGAGAAUACGGCCCAGACUCCUACGGGAGGCAGCAGUA
rnacentral:rRNA from 1 species